UUAUAUUCAGACACGUCAUCAUCUUUAUCAUAAUUUUUUAAAAAAAAACACCUAAAAAAAGGAAAAAAAACAGCACCAAAAUCCUAAAUCCAAUGUCUUUUUCCAGAUUUUAAAGAGUGAAGAAAUUAAAGUUCUGUUUCAGUUUCAGUACGAGGUGAUCCAUCAGUUUAUGAAUUUUGUGGUGUUGUCAGAACAACAAGGAAAUUGAAGCCUUUAGGUUUAAGAAAAACUUGAAUCAAUGGGUUUUGUGAUUGUAAUAUCACUGCCAUUGAUUCUGAUCAUCCUUAUCUCAGCUCUUGCUUGUUACCUCUUUGGUAAGUCACGAGGCCGCCGAGAAGCCGCCCUGGUUCCUCCGUACUAUGGACCGCCACCACCAGCACCUCCUCCCGGAGUCCUUUCUCCGCCACCCCAAAAAUAACAUUUUUACUUCUCAAUAUUGUAAAUGUCAUAUUGUUAAAAUUUGAGCUAUACCUUUCUUUGUUUAAUUGUAUGUGACCAAAUGAAUUGUGUUAUCCAAGCGCGUUAA